AGUGAACGCUGGCGGUAGGCCUUACACAUGCAAGUCGAACGGCAGCACAGUAAGAGCUUGCUCUUACGGGUGGCGAGUGGCGGACGGGUGAGGAAUACAUCGGAAUCUACUUUUUCGUGGGGGGUAACGUAGGGAAACUUACGCUAAUACCGCAUACGACCUACGGGUGAAAGCAGGGGAUCUUCGGACCUUGCGCGAUUGAAUGAGCCGAUGUCGGAUUAGCUAGUUGGCGGGGUAACGGCCCACCAAGGCGACGAUCCGUAGCUGGUCUGAGAGGAUGAUCAGCCACACUGGAACUGAGACACGGUCCAGACUCCUACGGGAGGCAGCAGUGGGGAAUAUUGGACAAUGGGCGCAAGCCUGAUCCAGCCAUACCGCGGGGGUGAAGAAGGCCUUCGGGUUGUAAAGCCCUUUUGUUGGGAAAGAAAAGCAGCAGGUUAAUACCCCGCUGUUCUGAGGGUACCCAAAGAAUAAGCACCGGCUAACUUCGG
rnacentral:rRNA from 1 species